GGCAUCGGCCGUUGGCCCCUGGGAGAAGAGCUUUUCUACAUCCCUCAGAUCACAUCAGGUUUGGUGGCUGCCUACCAUUGGUGACCCUUUCCUCAUUCACAACGUAGUGAAAGUUCAAAGCUUGGGGACACCCGGAAUGAGGGAAGAAAGAGGAGAACAGAGAAGGAGAAGCAGCAAAUGCUACCCGAGCCCUCAUGGGACAAGAAACACGAACAACAUAUCCGAGGUACCUGCAGCUUCUUGUAACCAGGAGGAGGUCGGUUUGGUCUGCCUGGGGCAUGGUACUGUGGAAGUGCACUCAGCAUCAGCCAAUCAUUGCUCAGGCCGUCCCUCAACAUUCGAUUUAGCUUAUAAUAGCAGGAAAAGAAAAUGGUGAACCAAUCCAGUAUUUUUGAAGGGAAAUCAGUCUAGAAAGCUGUGAAGCGGAUUGGCAAAGUAUCUGAAGUUCUUUGGAAAGCAAGUGUUAAAGAAAGCCCAGAUUCAUUUUGGAAGAAUCCUUAUCAAUCAGUAGAAUUGUCUCAAACCAAACUCAAAUCAACAUUGUUACUGCUACUGGAAAAGGACCAUUUGGAAACAAAGGAGAUAUGAGCCUCAGUAAAAACAAGUGGAUACUUGAACACUUCUGAAAAUGAGGAUGCAAGUAGGGACUUAAGAAGAUUGACUAUUGUUUACAUCAUCAGAAGGAGUCAUUUAGAGUUGGA